rnacentral:rRNA from 1 species
UACAGAGGUCCCAAGCGUUGUUCGGAUUUACUGGGCGUAAAGGGUGCGUAGGCGGUUGGGUAAGUCUAACGUGAAAUCUUCAAGCUUAACUUGGAAACUGCGUCGGAUACUAUCCAGCUAGAGGAAUGGAGGGGAGACUGGAAUACUUGGUGUAGCAGUGAAAUGCGUAGAUAUCAAGUGGAACACCAGUGGCGAAGGCGAGUCUCUGGACAUUUCCUGACGCUGAGGCACGAAAGCCAGGGGAGCAAACGGG